rnacentral:rRNA from 1 species
UACGUAGGAGACGAGCGUUGUCCGGAGGUACUGGGCGUAAAGGGCGCGCAGGCGGCCUGUCAGGUGUCUGGUGAAAGCUCCCGGCUUAACUGGGAGAGGUCCAGGCAAACCGUCAGGCUUGAGCGUCGGAGAGGGGCAUGGAAUUCCGGGUGGAGCGGUGAAAUGCGUAGAGAUCCGGAGGAACACCAAUGGCGAAGGCAGUGCCCUGGCCGACGGCUGACGCUCAGGCGCGAAAGCGUGGGGAGCAAACAGG